GCCAGGUGUAGUGCUGUGCACCUGUGGUCCUAGCUCCUCAGGAGGCUGAGGCGGGAGGAUCGCUUGAGCCCAGGAGGCAGAGGUUGCAGUGAGCCGAGAUCAUGCCACUGCAUUCCAGCUUGGGCUACACAGUGAGACCCUGUCUCAA
ensembl:misc_RNA Metazoa_SRP Metazoan signal recognition particle RNA